rnacentral:rRNA from 1 species
AACGAACGCUGGCGGCAUGCCUAACACAUGCAAGUCGAACGAGACCUUCGGGUCUAGUGGCGCACGGGUGCGUAACGCGUGGGAACCUGCCCUUAGGUUCGGAAUAACUCCCCGAAAGGGGUGCUAAUACCGGAUAAUGUCUUCGGACCAAAGAUUUAUCGCCUUUGGAUGGGCCCGCGUUGGAUUAGCUAGUUGGUAGGGUAAAAGCCUACCAAGGCGACGAUCCAUAGCUGGUCUGUGAGGAUGAUCAGCCACACUGGGACUGAGACACGGCCGAGACUCCUACGGGAGGCAGCAGUGGGGAAUAUUGGACAAUGGGCGAAAGCCUGAUCCAGCAAUGCCGCGUGAGUGAUGAAGGCCGUAGGGUUGUAAAGCUCUUUUACCCGGGAUGAUAAUGACAGUACCGGGAGAAUAAGCUCCGGCUAACUCCGUG